rnacentral:misc_RNA from 1 species
GAUGAAGAACGCAGCGAAAUGCGAAAAGUAAUGUGAAUUGCAGAAUUCAGUGAAUCAUCGAAUCUUUGAACGCACAUUGCGCCCAUUAGUAUUCUAGUGGGCAUGCCUGUUCGAGCGUCAUUUCAACCCUUAAGCCUAGCUUAGUAUUGGGAAUCGACUUUACUGUCGUUCCUCAAAUUCAACGGCGGAUUUAUAGCAAUCUCUGAACGUAGUAAUUUUUUUCCUCGUUUUUGAAAUACUAUAAACCUCAGCCGCUAAACCCCCAAUUUUUCUAUGGUUGACCUCGGAUCAGGUAGGAAUACCCGCUGAACUUAAGCAUAUCAAUAAGCGGAGGA